rnacentral:rRNA from 1 species
AUUGAACGCUGGCGGCAUGCUUUACACAUGCAAGUCGAACGGCAGCACGGGUGCUUGCACCUGGUGGCGAGUGGCGAACGGGUGAGUAAUGCAUCGGAACGUGCCCAUGAGUGGGGGAUAGCCCGGCGAAAGCCGGAUUAAUACCGCAUACGCCCUUAGGGGGAAAGCGGGGGAUCUUCGGACCUCGCGCUAUUGGAGCGGCCGAUGUCGGAUUAGCUAGUAGGUGAGGUAAAGGCUCACCUAGGCGACGAUCCGUAGCUGGUCUGAGAGGAUGAUCAGCCACACUGGGACUGAGACACGGCCCAGACUCCUACGGGAGGCAGCAGUGGGGAAUUUUGGACAAUGGGCGCAAGCCUGAUCCAGCCAUGCCGCGUGAGUGAAGAAGGCCUCGGUUGUAAGUAC